UGGGGAACACAGUGCAGUCUAUUUCAAAUCAGUCUUACGUCAAUUUCAAAUCUACGACUCGUGGCAUAGCUAUAUCAAAGUCGACGAUGUCAAUUUCACUGAUAUGUAUCAUGUAUAUUUCACAUUAGUUUCACGAGCUAACAUGCUCAUUGUUUUUCUUUCAUGAUGUACAUAGCAAAAAAUAUGACUUAUUCCUUGUUGCAAAUUCUUCCUUUGACUGAACACGAUAAUGGAAACAUAUGAAUGUUUUCGACAGGUGCUGUCGCUUACCAGGACCUUUUUGUGUGUUUAUAAAAACCAUGAAUUGCAUUGUUAUAGAAAACGAAGUUUGUUGUAAACAUUUCGCCUCAGCGGAUCGCUACAGUGAUAGGACUUGCUAUGGAUUAACAAGACCCCCUUCCAGUUUGUUCGUGGUUCAGAGCGGACCGAAAUAUCCUUAUUCAGCACAUACAUCCAGGACAACCCAGAAAUCAGGAAGAAGGUCAGUGAUGGUCAAGGUGGUCAACAGUGUAACCCAUGGGACCACGUGGGAAAAGACUUCCACGCUACCCACGAAACCAGUGUUGCCCUUAACCCUGAAAAGCUGCAGGCCCUAAGGACCCAGAACCAUAAAAAGUUGUGGGUCCUGAUCAGAAAGUGUUGGCCUUAUAUUUUAGUAUGGAAAUAAUACUUUUAGUUAUUGGGGAUGAAAAAGCUGUCGGCCAUAAGGACCUGCAGAAAACAAAAGCUGUGGGUCCGAGAGGUUUUCAGUCGUCUUCGGACCUAAGGACCGACGUUAAUUUCGAACGCUGCACGAAACAGUUCCAAAUCGAAGGAUAUUUUAAACAAACAUAAACUGCCUGUAAAGAAAGUUUAAACCUAUGUUUGAUCGUAGCUAAAAUGCAACACAUCGGAAAUGGUUAUUCGAUGAUGAUGUAUUUAACUUUGAGAGGCAUUUAGAAGUUGGAGCAGUAAGGAAGGAUAACAGUAUAUGGUUGAACACCUUCUUUACUACAGCGAGAGCGACGUUUUUGUGCAGGUUAUACUUGCUUGAUAAUGGUGUUAGAACCUACACAGAGACGUCGCUGUAAUAAAGACGUUGUUCAUCCAUAUAUUGUUAUCCUUUCUUGGCGAUGUAUUUGAUACGGUAUCGCGGUGUUUUGGACCUUACGUUUGGAAUGUCUUGGAGACUAAUGUUUUGGUAAAGUUUGCAAUUU